CAGGGCAUGGGUGAUAUGAAAGCAAUAUCAAGCUUGGAUUUGGAAGGAGUGGCUGUGUAGUUGUCCAGGGGUUUUAAGAAUGGAUCAGGAUCCAGAAACUUAACAAUCAUCAACGGCUACAAAACAAUGCAAUCAUGAAUCAGAUUCUUGAGUUGAAAAAUCUUCAACUUACUGGAGGAGAUAAUCAGAAAAAUCAUUGCAUCAUAAUGGAGAAUAUGUUACACCCUUCUCCAUCCACAUCACUUCAGGAGUAUUAGUCAAUGACAGACUCGAGCAGCAAUGCAAGGAACUCAAUUGUCUCACUAAUGAGCUUCAGAGCUUAGACAACUCAAGUCAAGUGUUAAUGAGGGAAGAUUAAUUUGUGUUGCAGAGAUGAUUGUUGCCGCUUACUUUUUGGAUGCUUUAAGCGGUAAAGCUUGCCCUACUGCCGAUGAUGUCAUGAAAAAUCUUGGGCAGAUCGGCAGAGUUGGAGCAGCAACAAAUCACGAUGAAGAAAUCACUAAACAAAAAUGAAACGUCUCCAUCGAUCCAUUAUGUCUAGGUUUUAGGGUUCCCAAUUCAUUGCCGUCCCCGCAACAAAAAAUGGGCUGAUAAAGAGGCAACACAUAGUCGACCAGCAACAACUCUCUCCGUGAUUAAUGCCCUAUAGUGGUGCCUAAGCAAGUGGAGUUGGAUUAGGCGGCGUUAGAGGACAACACUGAGGAGGCUUUGGAGGUUACAUUUGAGGAGUGAUCUCUUUCACAGACGUCUUCCUUUUGCCGAGAAUGCUCAUCCACGCUACAAAUGCGUGAAAGUUAAUAAGUGACGAAGUUAUGUAUCAUGGCAAUAUGCAUCUACACUUUUGGAAGAAGUCCUUAUUAUGUAACACUGUUUUAGAACUUAAACUACCCAUUACUCCUUUUGGGUCACUUGUACUUUAGAAAACUCGAUGGAUGUCUCCGAUUAUUUUCAUUCCAUAAUUAGGCUCCUGAUUUGCAUAAUAUCUUGGAAGAUAGAUAUAUAUAACUUGGGGGACCACUGUGUUAUCCUUCAGAAAGGUGGCUUUUGCUACCACUUCUGUAUUACUGCUUCUUCUGUCUUACUGAUUCUUGAGCAUUCAACUUAUUGA